GUCUUGGGUGUAAAAAGCAAAGAGUCUCAACUUUCAACACAAAAAGGCUACGGAGGCAGCUUAAGCUUGCUAAUGGGGCAUCAUCUCCACAAUCGUCGUCAACCCGAAGUGCUCCUCUCCUCACUUCCCUCCUCGCCGAAUUAUUCAGUUCGUCCGUAUCUCUCUCUCUAGGUUUCGCUCCGUUGCUCUGCUCCUUCACUCCCUAAGAGCAAAUGCAUACGACGUUUAGAUGAUCGAUGCUGCAUGGCAUAUGCGAUCAGGUUUUUACACUAAUUUUUGGUGAAAUGAAGUAAUAUGUGAAUUUAAAAGUGUGGAUUUACAAGGUGGGCGGAAUCAGUAGAGCGGAAGAAAUGGACAAGGUGAGGGCUUGGUUCAGUAAGUUUAAGUCGAAAGAAAAGUCAAAUGCUUCAAGGAAGAAGGAAGCUGUAGGGAAUGGGAUGGAAGUGUUGAAGGUGCCAACGAAUGAGGAAGCACCUUCAAAUGUGACUAAGCAGAAAGUUGCCGCAGCAAAGCAGUAUAUAGAAGACCAUUACAAGAAUCAGAUGAAGAACCUGCAGGAGAGGAAGGAGCGACGCAAUAUACUUGAAAAGAAGUUAGCUGAUGCUGAGGUCUCCGAGGAAGAGCAGAACAACCUGCUAAAGUAUUUGGAGAAGAAGGAAACUGAAUACAUGCGUCUUCAAAGGCAUAAGAUGGGUGCUGACGAUUUUGAACCAUUGACGAUGAUAGGGAAGGGUGCAUUUGGAGAGGUUAGAAUCUGUAGGGAGAAGUCAACUGGUCAUGUAUAUGCUAUGAAGAAGCUUAAAAAAUCAGAGAUGCUUCGCAGAGGACAAGUUGAACAUGUGAAAGCUGAGAGGAAUCUACUUGCCGAGGUUGAUAGCAAUUGCAUUGUCAAGCUUUAUUGUUCAUUCCAAGAUGAGGAGUAUUUAUACCUCAUCAUGGAAUAUCUUCCCGGUGGAGAUAUGAUGACUUUAUUAAUGCGCAAGGAUAUACUGACAGAAGAUGAGGCCAGAUUUUAUGUUGCGGAAACGGUCCUAGCCAUUGAGUCCAUCCAUAAACAUAAUUACAUUCAUAGGGAUAUCAAGCCAGAUAAUUUGCUCCUUGAUAGAAAUGGUCACAUGAAAUUAUCAGAUUUUGGAUUAUGUAAACCACUAGACUGCAGUAAUCUCCAAGAAAAGGAUUUUUCUCUUGGAAACAACCUUAGUGGGGCUCUUCAGAGUGAUGGACGCCCUAGUCCUGUGGCACCAAAACGCACACAACAGGAGCAACUUCAACAUUGGCAGAGGAACAGGAGGAUGCUUGCUUAUUCAACUGUUGGAACGCCUGAUUAUAUUGCCCCAGAAGUUUUGCUGAAGAAAGGAUAUGGGAUGGAAUGUGAUUGGUGGUCUCUUGGUGCUAUCAUGUAUGAAAUGCUUGUGGGAUAUCCACCCUUUUACUCUGAUGAACCUAUGUCAACCUGUAGGAAGAUAGUUAAUUGGAGAACUCAUUUGAAAUUUCCAGAAGAAGCAAAUCUGUCUCCAAAAGCAAAGGAUCUUAUUAGUAAAAUGUUAUGUAAUGUAGACCAGAGACUUGGAACAAAAGGCGCAGAUGAAAUAAAGUCUCAUUCAUGGUUCAAAGGCAUCGAAUGGGACAAAUUGUAUCAAAUGAAAGCAGCAUUUAUUCCUGAGGUCAAUGAUGAGUUGGAUACCCAAAACUUUGAGAAGUUUGAAGAGGCUGAUAAGGAAAUUCAAACUUCAUCAAAAGCAGGUCCAUGAAGAAAGGUAGUCGGAACAUUUUAUUAACCAAUGCAAAGUCUUAGCCCAAGUACCCGGGGACCGUUUUAUCCUCAGCUUGGCCAGUAUCUCAAUAUACAAUGAUGAGUCAGCCAAGGCUGCCAGUCAGCCUGUUCAAGGGAGGUUUCUGAACCUCUUGCCUCCCAACUAGAAGUCCCGGAGAAACAGAGUCAAUUCUAUUGAGCUACACUAAUAUUUCUAAUAACAUCAGAUGGCCACAAAAGAGUGCUCUGUUCCAUGUUGAAUGGCUUUUGUUUUAUUGCUUCCUGGAUUUGGUUGUUUUUGGGGGCAAAGGCCCCAAAAGAGCUGUUUGGUCUCUACCAAAUAUUUUCUGGAAAUAUAUAUUCUUUGAUACUGUUGAUGAUAGUUCCCAAAAGAGCUGUUUGGUCUCUACCAAAUAUUUUCUGGAAAUAUAUAUUCUUUGAUACUGUUGAUGAUAGUUGUACUACUAUGUGAAAGAGUAAAUUAAUCAAUUUCUUUGAAAUUA